GAUUGAACGCUGGCGGCAGGCUUAACACAUGCAAGUCGAGCGGAGCGAGGGUGCUUGCACCUUAGCUUAGCGGCGGACGGGUGAGUAAUGCUUAGGAAUCUGCCUAUUAGUGGGGGACAACAUUCCGAAAGGAAUGCUAAUACCGCAUACGCCCUACGGGGGAAAGCAGGGGAUCUUCGGACCUUGCGCUAAUAGAUGAGCCUAAGUCGGAUUAGCUAGUUGGUGGGGUAAAGGCCUACCAAGGCGACGAUCUGUAGCGGGUCUGAGAGGAUGAUCCGCC
rnacentral:rRNA from 1 species